rnacentral:tRNA from 1 species
GGUUGUGGCUCAGCAGUAGAGCGCUUGCCUCACACCAGUGAGGCCCUGGGUUCGAUCCUCAGCACCA